CCUACGGGUGGCAGCAGUGGGGAAUAUUGCACAAUGGGGGAAACCCUGAUGCAGCGACGCCGCGUGAGUGAAGAAGUAUUUCGGUACGUAAAGCUCUAUCAGCAGGGAAGAAAAUGACGGUACCUGACUAAGAAGCCCCGGCUAACUACGUGCCAGCAGCCGCGGUAAUACGUAGGGGGCAAGCGUGAUCCGGAUUUACUGGGUGUAAAGGGAGCGUAGACGGCAGCGCAAGUCUGGAGUGAAAUCCCAUGGCUUAACCAUGGAACUGCUUUGGAAACUGUGCAGCUAGAGUGCAGGAGAGGUAAGCGGAAUUCCUAGUGUAGCGGUGAAAUGCGUAGAUAUUAGGAGGAACACCAGUGGCGAAGGCGGCUUACUGGACUGUAACUGACGUUGAGACUCGAAAGCGUGGGGAGCAAACAGGAUUAGAUACCCGAGUAGUC
rnacentral:rRNA from 1 species